rnacentral:rRNA from 1 species
AGGACGAACGCUGGCGGCGUGCUUAACACAUGCAAGUCGAGCGGUGAUCCUCCUUCGGGAGGUGAUCAGCGGCGAACGGGUGAGUAACACGUGGGCAACCUGCCCCUCACACUGGGAUAACCUCGGGAAACCGGGGCUAAUACCGGAUACGACCUCGGGCGGCAUCUCUUGAGGUGGAAAGCUCCGACGGUGAGGGAUGGGCCCGCGGCCUAUCAGCUUGUUGGUGGGGUAAUGGCCUACCAAGGCGACGACGGGUA